AUGCACGCUGGCGGCGUGCCUCAUACAUGCACGUCGAGCGAACGGACGAGAAGCUUGCUUCUCUGAUGUUAGCGGCGGACGGGUGAGUAACACGCGGAUAACCUACCUAUAAGACUGGGAUAACUUCGGGAAACCGGAGCUAAUACCGGAUAAUAUUUUGAACCGCAUGGUUCAAAAGUGAAAGACGGUCUUGCUGUCACUUAUAGAUGGAUCCGCGCUGCAUUGGCUAGUUGGUAAGGUAACGGCUUACCAAGGCAACGAUGCAUAGCCGACCUGAGAGGGUGAUCGGCCACACUGGAACUGAGACACGGUCCAGACUCCUACGGGAGGCAGCAGUAGGGAAUCUUCCGCAAUGGGCGAAAGCCUGACGGAGCAACGCCGCGUGAGUGAUGAAGGUCUUCGGAUCGUAAAACUCUGUUAUUAGGGAAGAACAUAUGUGUAAGUAACUGUGCACAUCUUGACGGUACCUAAUCAGAAAGCCACGGCUAACUACGUG
rnacentral:rRNA from 1 species